rnacentral:rRNA from 1 species
AAGGCGACGAUCAGUAGCUGGUCUGAGAGGAUGAUCAGCCACAUUGGGACUGAGACACGGCCCAAACUCCUACGGGAGGCAGCAGUGGGGAAUAUUGGACAAUGGGCGCAAGCCUGAUCCAGCCAUGCCGCGUGAGUGAUGAAGGCCUUAGGGUUGUAAAGCUCUUUUGUCCGGGAAGAUAAUGACUGUACCGGAAGAAUAAGCCCCGGCUAACUUCGUGCCAGCAGCCGCGGUAAUACGAAGGGGGCUAGCGUUGCUCGGAAUCACUGGGCGUAAAGGGCGCGUAGGCGGACUCUUAAGUCGGGGGUGAAAGCCCAGGGCUCAACCCUGGAAUUGCCUUCGAUACUGAGAGUCUUGAGUUCGGAAGAGGUUGGUGGAACUGCGAGUGUAGAGGUGAAAUUCGUAGAUAUUCGCAAGAACACCAGUGGCGAAGGCGGCCAACUGGUCCGAUACUGACGCUGAGGCGCGAAAGCGUGGGGAGCAAACAGGAUUAGAUACCCUGGUAGUCCACGCCGUAAACGA